AUUGAACGCUGGCGGCAGGCCUAACACAUGCAAGUCGAGCGGAUGAAUGGUGCUUGCUCCUGGAUUCAGCUGCGGACGGGUGAGUAAUGCCUAAGAAUCUCCCUGGUCGUGUCUGAUAACGUCCGGAAACGGGCGCUAAUACCGCAUACGUCCUGACGGAGCAACUGGGUGAUCUUCGGACCUCCUGCGAUCACAUGAGCCUAGGUCGGAUUAGCUAGUUGGUUGGGUAAAGGCCUACCAAGGCGACGAUCCGUAACUGGUCUGAGAGGAUGAACAGACACACUGGAACUGAGACACGGUCACGAGUCCUACGGGAGGACGCAGUGGGGAAUAUUGGACAAUGGGGGAAAGCCUGAUCCAGCCAUGCAGCGUGUGUGAAGAAGGUCUUCGGGUUGUAAAGCACUUUAAGUUGGGAGGAAGGGCAGUAAGUUCAUACCUUGCUGUCUUGACGGUACCUAAAGAAUAAGCACCGGCUAACUUCGUG
rnacentral:rRNA from 1 species